rnacentral:rRNA from 1 species
AGUGAACGCUGGCGGUAGGCCUAACACAUGCAAGUCGAACGGCAGCACAGUAAGAGCUUGCUCUUACGGGUGGCGAGUGGCGGACGGGUGAGGAAUACAUCGGAAUCUACUUUUUCGUGGGGGAUAACGUAGGGAAACUUACGCUAAUACCGCAUACGACCUACGGGUGAAAGCAGGGGAUCUUCGGACCUUGCGCGAUUGAAUGAGCCGAUGUCGGAUUAGCUAGUUGGCGGGGUAAAGGCCCACCAAGGCGACGAUCCGUAGCUGGUCUGAGAGGAUGAUCAGCAACACUGGAACUGAGACACGGUCCAGACUCCUACGGGAGGCAGCAGUGGGGAAUAUUGAACAAGGGGCGCAAGCCUGAUCCAGCCAUACCGCGUAGGUGAAGAAGGCCUUCGGGUUGUAAAGCCCUUUUGUUGGGAAAGAAAAGCAGCAGGUUAAUACCCCGCUGUUCGGACGGUACCCAAAGAAUAAACACCGGCUAACUUCGG